UCCUUCAUUAUCGACAUCGCGUACACUCAAAUACAUGAUCUAGAUAACGCGUGUGUGAUUUAUUUAAAUUUUUACGAUGUUCGUUUUUCAAUCAUUCUGAGAAGGUCAUUAUUUACAAAGUUAUUGAUACAGAUGGUUAAUCUUCUUGAAAGGAGAUGCGUACGUGCCUUAAAGGUGACUUGGUGAUGUAAAGAGUAAGAAAAAAGAAUGGAGGAAAAGAAGAGAGAGAGAGAGAGAGAGAGAGAGAGAGAGAGAGAGAGAGAGAGAGAGAGAGAGAGAGAGAGAGAGAGGCAAACAGUAGCUGCUGGUCGAGAGGCCGAUUCACGGCGCCAUUUUUUUGCGCCACCCGUUAUAAUUGCCGGGGCCUUGUCACUUUUGCCUUAGCUCGGGCCGCAUGGCCCCUACUACAUGCAGUAAUGUAUCUUACUUCUAGGUCGCCCUGUGACUUGUGCCGGCUACCUCAAAGAGGUUUAAUUGUGAAAGAAAAAGAUGCCAACAGAAUGAGAGAGAGAGAAAGAAAGAAAUAAAAAUGGCUGACACGCAUCAACGUUCGUUCUCCCUCUUCGUGACAUAUCGAAUCAAAUCACGGACUCUUUUUUUCUUUUUUUUUUUUUCUUUUUCUCUUUUUUUUUGUUUUCUUAACAAAAAUAUAUGAUAAAUAAUAAAAAUAAUAAAUAAAUUUGCAUGACA